rnacentral:piRNA from 1 species
UGGCAGGAAAAAAAAAUAAAGCAGGAC